rnacentral:rRNA from 1 species
UACGGGGGGGGGCAAGCGUUGUUCGGAAUUACUGGGCGUAAAGGGCGCGUAGGCGGCCUGCUAAGUCGGACGUGAAAUCCCCGGGCUUAACCGGGGAACUGCGUCUGAUACUGGAUGGCUUGAGUUCGGGAGAGGGAUGCGGAAUUCCAGGUGUAGCGGUGAAAUGCGUAGAUAUCUGGAGGAACACCGGUGGCGAAGGCGGCAUCCUGGACCAACACUGACACUGAGGAGCGAAAGCCAGGGGAGCAAACGGG